GUUUGGUGACAUCACAAUGGAGUUUGCCCUAUGAAGUCCAGACCAUCUUCAGGCCAAGGCUUAUUUCUCCCAAGGGUCACAGUAUUGGAAGAAGAGUGUGGUUUACAGCUAAUACUGCCCUGAAGGUGUGGACCCAUACUUCAAACACAAAGAUCAGACACUGAUUUCACACAUCUGAUAGAUAAAUGAAGAAUUCUGAGACUGAUCCGAAGCUCAAGCCGAGGUGUAAAAAAAGGAAGAAAAAGUCAAAGAACUUGGAACAAAACUCUAGCAAUGCGGAACCCAGAAGCAUGCCCACUCAAUUUGCACGUAGAUUUCAAGAUCUCUUCCAAAACCUCCACAGGCAGAUAGAGGGCCAUCCCCACCACCAGCUCUACCAGCGCCACCUCUUCCCAGAGGAGUUUUUCCUCCUCCUUCAACUCCUUUACCUGGACUAAAUGGCAAACCAUCAUCACCACCAUCACCUUUGGAGACCUCCUCCUCUGCCACAACCUUUGUUGGGGAACCCCCUUUCCAGGAUCACCACCUGCUCUAUCUUAUGGAAUGAGGCAGAAAUAAAUGUAUAAACCUAUA